rnacentral:rRNA from 1 species
GGUCAAGCAAUAAGGGCACAGGGCGGAUGCCUUGGCACUAAGAGCCGAUGAAAGACGUGAUAAGCUGCGAUAAGCUUCGGGGAGGAGCAAAUAUCCAUUGAUCCGGAGAUGUCUGAAUGGGGAAACCCACAUGAGCAAACCUCAUGUAUCCUACAGCCAAUACAUAACUGUAGGAAGGGAACCCGGGGAACUGAAACAUCUAAGUACCCGGAGGAAAAGAAAGAA